rnacentral:rRNA from 1 species
UACGGAGGAUCCAAGCGUUAUCCGGAAUCAUUGGGUUUAAAGGGUCCGUAGGCGGUCUUGUAAGUCAGUGGUGAAAGCCCAUCGCUCAACGGUGGAACGGCCAUUGAUACUGCUGGACUUGAAUUAUUAGGAAGUAACUAGAAUAUGUAGUGUAGCGGUGAAAUGCUUAGAGAUUACAUGGAAUACCAAUUGCGAAGGCAGGUUACUACAAGUACAUUGACGCUGAUGGACGAAAGCGUGGGGAGCGAACAGG